rnacentral:rRNA from 1 species
CCUACGGGGAGCUGCAGUGGGGAAUAUUGGACAAUGGGCGAAAGCCUGAUCCAGCCAUGCCGCGUGUGUGAAGAAGGCCUUCGGGUUGUAAAGCACUUUCAGUGGGGAAGAAAGCCUUGGGGCUAAUACCCUCGAGGAAGGACAUCACCCACAGAAGAAGCACCGGCUAACUCCGUGCCAGCAGCCGCGGUAAUACGGAGGGUGCGAGCGUAAUCGGAAUUACUGGGCGUAAAGCGCGCGUAGGCGGUCUGAUAAGCCGGUUGUGAAAGCCCCGGGCUCAACCUGGGAACGGCAUCCGGAACUGUCAGGCUAGAGUGCAGGAGAGGAAGGUAGAAUUCCCGGUGUAGCGGUGAAAUGCGUAGAGAUCGGGAGGAAUACCAGUGGCGAAGGCGGCCUUCUGGACUGACACUGACGCUGAGGUGCGAAAGCGUGGGUAGCAAACAGGAUUAGAUACCCGAGUAGUC